CAUUUAUGAUGUACUCCAGCUGCUGUAUAUAUACUGUAUCCAACGCCUCUUUAGAUCAGUUCAUUCUGCGACGAGAAUCGUUGAAGAUUUAAUAAUGAAAUAUUUUUUGGUGUUCGCUUUUGUUACAUUGCUAUGUUUGGGAAGUGCCUAUGGUUCACCUGUUUCAAAGCCUGAUCCAUUUUUCCCACUUUUCGCUGGUCUGGCACAACAAGCUGCAAGCAAUCCAAAUCAGUAUAGUAAUAUGUACAGCGGUUAUGGCAGCGGUGUUGUACAUUCGAACUCAUACGAUUAUGUUGAAAAUAUAGUAAUUCGAAAAUAAACAUUUUGCUGUUAAAA